rnacentral:rRNA from 1 species
CCUACGGGUGGCUGCAGUGGGGAAUAUUGGACAAUGGGGGGAACCCUGAUCCAGCCAUGCCGCGUGUGUGAAGAAGGCCCUCGGGUUGUAAAGCACUUUCAGUGAGGAAGAACGCCUGGUGGUGAAUACCCAUCAGGAAAGACAUCACUCACAGAAGAAGCACCGGCUAACUCCGUGCCAGCAGCCGCGGUAAUACGGAGGGUGCGAGCGUUAAUCGGAAUUACUGGGCGUAAAGCGCGCGUAGGUGGCUUGAUAAGCCGGUUGUGAAAGCCCCGGGCUCAACCUGGGAACGGCAUCCGGAACUGUCAAGCUAGAGUGCAGGAGAGGAAGGUAGAAUUCCCGGUGUAGCGGUGAAAUGCGUAGAGAUCGGGAGGAAUACCAGUGGCGAAGGCGGCCUUCUGGACUGACACUGACACUGAGGUGCGAAAGCGUGGGUAGCAAACAGGAUUAGAUACCCUGGUAGUC